rnacentral:misc_RNA from 1 species
GAUGAAGAACGUAGCGAAAUGCGAUAAGUAAUGCGAAUUGCAGAAUUCCAGUGAGUCAUCGAAUCUUUGAACGCACAUUGCGCCCACUGGUAUUCCGGUGGGCAUGCCUGUUCGAGCGUCAUUAUCCUCCCUCAAACCCCGGGUUUGGUGUUGGACCCAAGUUGUGUGAACAACUGGUCUCAAAGACAAUGACGGCGUCCGUGGGACCCUCGGUGCAACGAGCUUUUAGGAGCACGCAUCGAGUUGCAAGGACCUUCCGGGCCGGUCUCCUUUACCAUUUUACAAGGUUGACCUCGGAUCAGGUAGGAAUACCCGCUGAACUUAAGCAUAUCAAUAAGCGGAGGA